rnacentral:rRNA from 1 species
GACGAACGCUGGCGGCGUGCUUAACACAUGCAAGUCGAACGGAAAGGCCCUGCUUUUGUGGGGUGCUCGAGUGGCGAACGGGUGAGUAACACGUGAGUAACCUGCCCUUGACUUUGGGAUAACUUCAGGAAACUGGGGCUAAUACCGGAUAGGAGCUCCUGCUGCAUGGUGGGGGUUGGAAAGUUUCGGCGGUUGGGGAUGGACUCGCGGCUUAUCAGCCUGUUGGUGGGGUAGUGGCUUACCAAGGCUUUGACGGGUAGCCGGCCUGAGAGGGUGACCAGCCACAUUGGGACUGAGAUACGGCCCAGACUCCUACGGGAGGCAGCAGUGGGGAAUAUUGCACAAUGGGCGGAAGCCUGAUGCAGCAACGCCGCGUGCGGGAUGACGGCCUUCGGGUUGUAAACCGCUUUCGCCUGUGACGAAGCGUGAGUGACGGUAAUGGGUAAAGAAGCACCGGCUAACUACGUG